GCCUUCAUGGUGUAAUGGUCAGCACGCUCGACGCAUGUUCGAAAGGUUCGUGGUUCGAGUCCCGGUAAGGGCA
rnacentral:tRNA from 1 species